rnacentral:rRNA from 1 species
AUACAUGCAAGUYGAGCGGACGGAUGGGAGCUUGCUCCCUGAAGUCAGCGGCGGACGGGUGAGUAACACGUGGGCAACCUGCCUGUAAGACUGGGAUAACUUCGGGAAACCGGAGCUAAUACCGGAUAAUGCAUUUCCCCUCAUGGGGRUAUGCUGAAAGAUGGUUUCGGCUAUCACUUACAGAUGGGCCCGCGGCGCAUUAGCUAGUUGGUGAGGUAACGGCUCACCAAGGCAACGAUGCGUAGCCGACCUGAGAGGGUGAUCGGCCACACUGGGACUGANACACGGCCCAAACUCCUACGGGAGGCAGCAGUAGGGAAUCUUCCGCAAUGGACGAAAGUCUGACGGAGCAACSCCGCGUGAGUGAUGAAGGUUUUCGGAUCGUAAAACUCUGUUGUCAGGGAAGAACAAGUGCCGGAGUAACUGCCGGCACCUUGACGGUACCUGACCAGAAAGCCACGGCUAACUACGUGCCAGCAGCCGCGGUAAUACGUAGGUGGCAAGCGUUGUCCGGAAUUAUUGGGCGUAAAGCGCGCGCAGGCGGUCUCUUAAGUCUGAUGUGAAAGCCCACGGCUCAACCGUGGAGGGUCAUUGGAAACUGGGGGACUUGAGUGCAGAAGAGGAAAGUGGAAUUCCACGUGUAGCGGUGAAAUGCGUAGAGAUGUGGAGGAACACCAGUGGCGAAGGCGACUUUCUGGUCUGUAACUGACGCU